rnacentral:rRNA from 1 species
GACGAACGCUGGCGGCGUGCCUAAUACAUGCAAGUAGAACGCUGAAGGAGGAGCUUGCUCUUCUGGAUGAGUUGCGAACGGGUGAGUAACGCGUAGGUAACCUGCCUGGUAGCGGGGGAUAACUAUUGGAAACGAUAGCUAAUACCGCAUAAUAGUAGAUGUUGCAUGACAUUUGCUUAAAAGGUGCAAUUGCAUCACUACCAGAUGGACCUGCGUUGUAUUAGCUAGUUGGUGAGGUAACGGCUCACCAAGGCAACGAUACAUAGCCGACCUGAGGGGGUGAUCGGCCACACUGGGACUGAGACACGGCCCAGACUCCUACGGGAGGCAGCAGUAGGGAAUCUUCGGCAAUGGACGGAAGUCUGACCGAGCAACGCCGCGUGAGUGAAGAAGGUUUUCGGAUCGUAAAGCUCUGUUGUAAGAGAAGAACGAGUGUGAGAGUGGAAAGUUCACACUGUGACGGUAUCUACCA